rnacentral:rRNA from 1 species
ACUCCUACGGGAGGCAGCAGUGGGGAAUAUUGCACAAUGGGCGCAAGCCUGAUGCAGCCAUGCCGCGUGUGUGAAGAAGGCCUUCGGGUUGUAAAGCACUUUCAGCGGGGAGGAAGGCGGUGAGGUUAAUAACCUCACCGAUUGACGUUACCCGCAGAAGAAGCACCGGCUAACUCCGUGCCAGCAGCCGCGGUAAU